rnacentral:rRNA from 1 species
UACGGGGGGGCAAGCGUUGUUCGGAAUUACUGGGCGUAAAGGGCUCGUAGGCGGCCAACUAAGUCAGACGUGAAAUCCCUCGGCUCAACCGAGGAACUGCGUCCGAUACUGGUGGGCUUGAAUCCGGGAGAGGGAUGUGGAAUUCCAGGUGUAGCGGUGAAAUGCGUAGAUAUCGGAAGGAACACCGGUGGCGAAAGCGGCGCGCUGGACCUCUUCUGACGCUGAGGCGCGAAAGCCAGGGGAGCAAACGGG